AUAUUUUUGUGAUUGUCAGUCAUAACAGUCGUGAUCAUCGUGUUAGUUUUUGCAUUUCAUUUGGUUUUCUGACCAUUUUAAUUCUAGUAUUCAUGUACCAAACGUACUUUUUUAAUCAGAUUACAUCUGUUGAACAUCGAAAACGAGCAUAACAAAAUCUCAGCUAUGGAUCGAGCAGCAAAAACGAUUUCUAUUGACGAUUCCUGCCAUGUCCAAGCUAGCUGCAGCAGCAUCAUCAUCAUGAAGGAAUUGUGGAUUAUUGGAUUAUCAAACGCAGAGCUCUUAUAAAUUUCGUGGCAAGAAACCAACAAUGUGGCCUCUAUAACCUA